AGCUUUGCGCAGUGGCAGUAUCGUAGCCAAUGAGGUUUAUCCGAGGCGCGAUUAUUGCUAAUUGAAAACUUUUCUCAGUACAGCAAUGCCAUGUCUAUUAGUCCUGGGUCUUUUCUUUAGUAGCUAAUUUUUUGACAUCAAAAAUGA